rnacentral:rRNA from 1 species
UUCCGAUUGAUCCUGCCGGACCCGACUGCUAUCAGAAUGAGAUUAAGCCAUGCGAGUCAACGUAGCAAUACGUGGCACACGGCUCAGUAACACGUAGUCAACAUAACCAGAGGACGUGGAUAACCUCGGGAAACUGAGGAUAAACCGCGAUAGGCCAAGGUUUCUGGAAUGAGCCCUGGCCGAAAUCUAUAUGGCCUUUGGAUUGGACUGCGGCCGAUCAGGCUGUAGGUGAGGUAAUGGCCCACCAAACCUGUAGCCGGUACGGGCUUUGAGAGAAGGAGCCCGGAGAUGGGCACUGAGACAAGGGCCCAGGCCCUAUGGGGCGCAGCAGGCGCGAAACCUCUGCAAUAGGCGAAAGCCUGACAGGGUUACUCUGAGUGAUGCCCGCUAAGGGUAUCUUUUGGCACCUCUAAAAAUGGUGCAGAAUAAGGGGUGGGCAAGUCUGGUGUCAGCCGCCGCGGUAAUACCAGCACCCCGAGUUGUCGGGACGAUUAUUGGGCCUAAAGCAUCCGUAGCCUGUUCUGCAAGUCCUCCGUUAAAUCCACCUGCUCAACGGAUGGGCUGCGGAGGAUACCGCAGAGCUAGGAGGCGGGAGAGGCAAACGGUACUCAGUGGGUAGGGGUAAAAUCCAUUGAUCUACUGAAGACCACCAGUGGCGAGGGCGGUUUGCCAGAACGCGCUCAACGGUGAGGGAUGAAAGCUGGGGGAGCAAACCGGAUUAGAUACCCGGGUAGUCCCAGCUGUAAACGAUGCAGACUCGGUGAUGGGUUGGCCUCGAGCCAACCCAGUGCCGCAGGGAAGCCGUUAAGUCUGCCGCCUGGGGAGUACGGUCGCGAGACUGAAACUUAAAGGAAUUGGCGGGGGAGCACCACAAGGGGUGAAGCCUGCGGUUCAAUUGGAGUCAACGCCCGGGA